CAGCCGCCGCGGUAAUACGUAGGGCGCAAGCGUUGUCCGGAAUUAUUGGGCGUAAAGAGCUCGUAGGCGGUCUGUCGCGUCUGGUGUGAAAUCCCGAGGCUCAACCUCGGGCUUGCAUCGGGUACGGGCAGACUAGAGUGCGGUAGGGGAGACUGGAAUUCCUGGUGUAGCGGUGGAAUGCGCAGAUAUCAGGAGGAACACCGAUGGCGAAGGCAGGUCUCUGGGCCGCAACUGACGCUGAGGAGCGAAAGCAUGGGGAGCGAACAGGAUUAGAUACCCGGGUAGUCCCUGUCUCUUAUAC
rnacentral:rRNA from 1 species